rnacentral:rRNA from 1 species
UACGUAGGGUGCAAGCGUUGUCCGGAAUUAUUGGGCGUAAAGAGCUCGUAGGCGGUCUGUUGCGUCGGCUGUGAAAACCCGGGGCUCAACCCCGGGCCUGCAGCUGAUACGGGCAGACUAGAGUUCGGCAGGGGAGACUGGAAUUCCUGGUGUAGCGGUGAAAUGCGCAGAGAUCGGGAGGAACACCCGUAGCGAAGGCGGCAUUCUGGGCCGGUACUGACGCUGAGGAGCGAAAGCGUGGGGAGCAAACAGG